rnacentral:rRNA from 1 species
UCGCAGACACGUGAAUCAUCGAAUCUUUGAACGCAACUUGCACUCUAGGUUCUCCUAGAGUAUGCCUAUUUGAGUAUCGGUACACCACCACUCAAGUCUCCCUCUAAACGCGGGGAGAUUUGGACCUUGUGAGUCGUGUGUGCACGCGCGCACCGACUUGAAGAGUGUACUCUCACCCACUCUGACCCGUGGGUUGGGUAUUAUACACUGGCGUGAUAACCACAUUUCGUCAGGCACAACCCACGUGGUCGUACAGAGGGGAGUCGCCCCUAAAUCUUUUUCCACUUCGAUCUCAAAUUAGGUAGGACUACCCGCUGAAUUUAAGCAUAUCAAUAAGCGGAGG